CCUUGCGCUUCCUAGGUAAGCGCUCUACCACUGAGCUAAAUCCCAGCCCCGGGGUUUGUGUUCUUAAUAUCAAGUGCUCUGUCAUACAUGAAUUCUAUGGCAAGUUGUGGAGCAACGGCGCGCAGGUGCCCUUUGCUUUAGAGGCUGAGAAUUCUGUGUGUGUGUGUGUGUGUGUGUGUGUGUGUGUGUGUGUGUGUGUGUGUGUGUGUGUGGUUGCAAAGGUAUUCUCUGAUGAUGGAAGAGUCUGAGAAGCACGCUUCAUUCACGUUUUCCUUCCGAGGUGAUAUUCCCCAGGCUGGCUGUUGAAUAAGCAAAAACUUAGUGUAGCUCCUCUCCCUUAUUGCCUUAAUAGCGGCUGAAGAAUCGCGCUGGGAAGUUGGAAAGCGGGAUAAUGAAAAACAGACGCAGUCUGAGGUGCAGGUUGAAGAUGCAAGAAUGUGAGGGGUCGAGUGCGGAGGAGGGCGGUUCUGGAAUCCGUAGUGGGGACCCUCACACCUAAGCGCUCAUGGCAGACAAGCUCAAGUGAAGAAUGAAAAUUGUCAGGUGGAAAAUUCCCCACGUCUGGCUGAAUAGAAGAUAAUAGGAGCAAGACCAAAACAAGACAGAAAACUAUUGGUCAGCAUUGUGCUUGCCCAUUCAGCGCUUGGUGACUCAGUGUCAAGAGCAG
rnacentral:sRNA from 1 species